rnacentral:rRNA from 1 species
CACGUGAGUAACCUGCCCUUGACUCUGGGAUAAGCGUUGGAAACGACGUCUAAUACCGGAUACGACCUUCGGAGGCAUCUCCUGGGGGUGGAAAGAAUUUCGGUCAAGGAUGGACUCGCGGCCUAUCAGCUAGUUGGUGAGGUAAUGGCUCACCAAGGCGACGACGGGUAGCCGGCCUGAGAGGGUGACCGGCCACACUGGGACUGAGACACGGCCCAGACUCCUACGGGAGGCAGCAGUGGGGAAUAUUGCACAAUGGGCGCAAGCCUGAUGCAGCAACGCCGCGUGAGGGACGACGGCCUUCGGGUUGUAAACCUCUUUUAGUAGGGAAGAAGCGAAAGUGACGGUACCUGCAGAAAAAGCACCGGCUAACUACGUG